rnacentral:miRNA from 1 species
GAGGUGGGAGGAUUGCUGGAGCCUGGGAGGUCGAGGCUGCAGUAAGCCAUGAUUGCACCACCGCACUCCAGCCUGAGUGACAGAGCAAGACCCUGUC